rnacentral:rRNA from 1 species
CCUACGGGAGGCAGCAGUGGGGAAUAUUGCGCAAUGGGCGAAAGCCUGACGCAGCGACGCCGCGUGAGGGAUGAAGGUCUUCGGAUCGUAAACCUCUGUCAGCAGGGAAGAACGGUCACUGUGCUAAUCAGCAGUGAAUUGACGGUACCUGCAAAGGACGCACCGGCUAACUCCGUGCCAGCAGCCGCGGUAAUACGGAGGGUGCGAGCGUUAAUCGGAAUUACUGGGCGUAAAGCGCUCGUAGGCGGUAUGUCAAGUCAAGGGUGAAAUCCCCGCGCUCAACGUGGGAACUGCGUUUGAAACUGGCAAACUGGAGUGUGUGAGAGGAUAGUGGAAUUCCAGGUGUAGGAGUGAAAGCCGUAGAUAUCUGGAGGAACAUCAGUGGCGAAGGCGACGAUCUGGCACAUAACUGACGCUGAGGAGCGAAAGCGUGGGUAGCAAACAGGAUUAGAUACCCGGGUAGUC